CAGAACUCAUGAGCUUGCUUCAGGCUCACAAACCUAACGGGCAGAACAUCCUUCAAGAGGGUUACAGUUUGCUGGAUGCUCUGAGAAGAAUGCCCAGUCCCUCACCAGCAGAUAACUUUUCUGAACUUUUUUCUACGUCAUCAUCAGGUCUCUUUGACACCAUUCUAAAAGGGAAAUGCUGAUAAGGCUCAUUAUCUGCAUCUCAUUGUCCAUGUGCUGCAACUGUUGCUGAAGAAUAGACAGAGAACAGCCAGCAACAGUCUUCAACUGUAUUAUAGUUUGAACUGACCAUUGAAAAUAUCUUCUCAGUACCAAGAAUUAAGGAGCAAACUAACAAAUGGGGAAAGCCCUCAAGCCAAGUUUCAAAAGCAUUAGGUAUUCACUCUUAGAUGCUCCGGUACAUGAU